AUUCCACCUAACAUGACGUACUGGAAAAUAUUACUGAAUUUUAGGCUCUCACAGAGUCUCUGUGAUUUAAAUUAUUUUGGAUUUCUUCAUUUUUUUCUUUCUUUGGCGUUGAGAUUUUAAACGAAAAUCGAAAGACAAUGGCAACAUUUUCAAGGUACAACGAAGAUCGCCCGUACGAGGUAUGUAUUUUACUAUUUAGAAUUCGAUUCACGUACGUCGUACGAGUCGGGAAAAACUGUAAAAGUUCAAUAUUUUUAAUCAUCACAGGUUGCAAAUGUCCCUGCAGAGUUUGAUAGUACUCAUGACCUGGAUAUGGACAAAAAGUCGUCACUGGAUGAACAUAUUUCAGAGGUAUUUUAAUGAAUUUUGAAGAAGA